AGAGUUUGAUCCUGGCUCAGGACGAACGCUGGCGGCGUGCCUAACACAUGCAAGUCGAGCGGGAGUUUCCUUCGGGAAACUUUUAGCGGCGGACGGGUGAGUAACACGUGGGUAACCUGCCUCAUAGAGGGGGAUAGCCUCCCGAAAGGGAGAUUAAUACCGCAUAAUAACGAGAAAUCGCAUGGUUUUUCGUUUAAAGGAGAAAUCCGCUAUGAGAUGGACCCGCGGCGCAUUAGCUAGUUGGUGAGGUAACGGCUCACCAAGGCCACGAUGCGUAGCCGACCUGAGAGGGUGAUCGGCCACAUUGGAACUGAGACACGGUCCAGACUCCUACGGGAGGCAGCAGUGGGGAAUAUUGCACAAUGGGCGAAAGCCUGAUGCAGCAACGCCGCGUGAGUGAUGAAGGCCUUCGGGUUGUAAAGC
rnacentral:rRNA from 1 species